CCAGGUGAAAAGGAUGCUUGACUACCUUAAUCUUGUGGGCUGUGGGGUGGUUUUGGCUGGGGUUCUACAGGUGGAACGGCUACAGCCUUCUGCUCAGUCUGCGAGGAGCCUUUGUUAUCUCUGCAGCGAGUUUUGGACUCUGGCAGUUUUUGAAGAAGAAAAAAAGAGGCAAGGACAGUGGCUCUUUGUGUCUCUCAAAGGCAGCACUGUUUCUUCAGGCUGGCACGGCCCACGGACAACGUGCUGCCCUUCGUGCGGGAUUGUUUCACUGCCCCGACGCAUGGACUGCCCGGUGCCAGCCUUCUUGUAGGAGAGAAAGGCUGGAUGCCCCCUGCGAUGCCAGGACAGCUCAGAGAGCAGCAAAUUGAGAUCACCUUCUGAUGAUGGCUGUCAACGAUCCCUCCUCAUCCUCUCUUCACGUCCCUGGGGAGCAAGUUUCAGGGCGUGCUUCCUGUUACCUGACUCACUUUGGGCUCCUGUUGCCUAGAGGUCCAUCGUGGUCUUGACCUUAGAAGCAUUUUUGAAGACCAGCUCUGUGCCACCCACUGCACCCGGUGCUGAGAUACCAAGAGAAAACAUUCCAGUCUUCACAGAGCUUCUAGGAGCUCAGCAGCUAAAUAGAGAAACGGUUUCCGCCCGUGGGAUGAGUCCUGUUUUCUCUAUGAUUUCUUCCAAAAGAAAGAGCAAUAAAUAAAGCAAGGCAAACAUGAGCUGUGUCAACAGAGCAAAACACCUGCGGGACAACAACUUGAAGCUGACGAAGACUUAUGCAACUUUUUAAUGGUUUGUCCUCAAUCCAGCAGUAAGAUUUUCCUGACAGUAACUCACUCCCUGCCAAAGAGAGCAGGACCCUUGAAUCUGGUGGAGAAAUUGACUAUAAGACUGUACUGUGGUUUCUGGGAACACUGGACAAAGUUUGUGAUUGCAAUCUUGGUCACAGAAAGAUGUUGUACAUAGGUUAGCAUAUGAGACAGAAAAUGAUUCUAGUGACAGCAGCCAAAACAUCCAAAAUAUAUACAGGAUGUACAGUCUGCAAAGCAGUUUUACACAGAUUAUAGCCCCUCCUCCCCCAACACAGGUACACACACACACACCCUAAGCCAAGGGGGUGGAUGUAAUUUUGUUCAUGGUACAGAUAAGAAAUGGACUCUGAGCAAUGGAAGUAUUAGUCACAAAAUCAUGUUCCUCCUUCAUAUUUCUGACUCCUAUACAUUAACCAUCUGAUUCCAUUUAUGAAGUGUGUAGUCUUAUUGACCUGUAGUAAAGCCAUUCCUCAGCUUUGAUACAAUAUCAUAUAAUUCAUCAAGGUUGGGGCUUCCCUGGUGGUCCAGUGGUUAAGACUUGGCCUUCCAAAGCAGAGGGUCAGGUUCAGUCUUUGGUUGGGGAGCUAUGAUCCCCUCUGCCUUGAAAACAUGAAAUAAAUGUUUUUCAAAACAUGAAAUAGAAGCAA